CAUUUCCAGCGUCUGUUCUGACUUUGGCAGCAAAUGCAGACAUGAGGUCACUUGAUGUGCACAAUUAGCACUUUGUAGUCUCGUCCACUUCCAAACCCCUUAAACAGACACGCACAGUGCAUUAAACUGACUGGCCUUUGUAUUCUAACAUGUCUUAUUUCAACAUGACUGAUGCACAGUACGACUGUUACAAUUCAUGUGUAUUAAAUAAAUAAAACAACAUAGCAAGUGUUUUUCAGAUAACAUGAAAACUUUUUUUUCCAAUAAACAUAUAAUUCAAAUAUUUCUAUGCAUUAAUUCUCCAACAUGCUUUGUUUAUAUAACCGACGCAGCAACAUGAGCAGUGAGAACAAUCAUAGUGGCAUCAUGGAAACUGAGGGCUUAAGUAACAUCAGAAUAACAACCAGUAAAUUACUUUAAACAUUAAAAAAGUCUAAUUAUGUCCAGUAAGUGUACUUUUUGUGUUUGACAGCUGCGUCGGCACUCAGAAGGUCCAUCUAGGAAAGUUGAUAAAAAAAGUAUUUUCUGUAUCAAAUUUUUUUGGGUUACAUAAGUCCCUGCAGCGCAUUAACACACAUGUUCCUUCAAGCGUACAACAUGCUGCACAGAGCCUCUUCUUCUUCUCGCUCUGCUCUCACCCAUUUUACUGGCUGGAUGACCAAAUCAUCCCUGACAGGCCGUGGCUUUUCAUGCAGCUUUGUGAGUGCGUGCUGACCCCGGUCAGGCUGGGACAUUCACACUUUACAAAAGAGCAGGGACACAGAGGAGCCUCUUCAGUACGUCAGGCUGCCACUGUUUGUUCAGGCUGCUGAGGGGCUUCACAUGCUGUCUGUCUGUCUGCGGGCGCUGAGCAGCUGCAGCCGUCGAUGAAGGUGAGCGUGGCUGGGUGCGGAUCAACUCCCCGAGGACCCGUUAACUUCCAACUGAAGGUUGAAGGUUGAGCUCAGCAGCAGAAAUGAUCAUCAGACUGGGACGGCUGACACCAGGAUACUUCCAUCUCCUCCAGAGGCAGGUCUCAGGUGAGGUCCGGAUGCAGCCACAGAGCAGCCUCAUCAAUCCCAUCGCCAUGACGAUGGCCACAUUGGGGAUGGGAGUGUCUCUGUACAGCGCCAGGCAGAUGGCAGAGAGGGUCCAUCUGAAACAUCAGUGAGAAGCUCUGUGGGCGGUUUGUUUGUGUAUGUGGCAGAAGGUUUGUGAUGGAGGAGGUCGAGAGGGUCCAUGUUCACGUGUUGGUGCUUGAAGGAAAAUCUAAUAAGUGUCCCAGGAGGAAAAUGUGUCGUGUUGUCAAAACAUUUACACAUUCUUUGCAAUCUCAACAUUUAUAAGUAUAAGUAUAUAACAUAUAUAUAUAUAUAUAUAUAUAUAUAUAUAUAUAAAUAUGAGUGAAGCCUGCAAGUUUGACCUGCAGCUGCUAUUAUUUCCUGCAUUUUAUAGUGCAAUUUAAAUUAAUAAAAAUAACCACAGAAAAUAUAAUACAAUAUUAUAUAUAAAUAUUUAAAUAUUUCAGUAAGGUCAUUAGUUUGUUGUACUUUAGCACCUUCAUGUUUUGAAUUUAGAUUGUAACUUCUAUAGCAGCAUCCCCCUUUGAGUAAUCAGCUAUGGGAAAAUCUCUUUUCAUCAUGGCAUCUUCGGUUUGCUAAAUUAAAAUGUUAUGUUUGUACUAGAAUAAUAAUAAAGGAAAUGUGUGUAAAUGCAAAAUGCCACUAAAAGACAUUCAAAUGAUUAACUUUGUAUAGCAACAUAUUUGGUCAUUUGAUGUAAUUCUCAAAUAAAUGACAUCUGUGUGCAGACUCAAUGUUUUCAAUGUGUUUUUUGAAACAUUAAAACAGCUCCGUGGUGCUCAUGCUUCAUCCGUGU
ensembl:lncRNA